UACAGAGGGGGCAAGCGUUAUUCGGAAUUAUUGGGCGUAAAGGGCGCGUAGGCGGCCUGGCAAGUGGAAGGUGAAAUCCCUCGGCUUAACCGAGGAACUGCCCUCCAAACUGCUUGGCUUGAGUCCGGGAGAGGUGAGUGGAAUUCCACGUGUAGCGGUGAAAUGCGUAGAUAUCAGGAAGAACACCCGUGGCGAAGGCGGUUCUCUGGGACGGUACUGACGCUGAGACGCGAAAGCGUGGGGAGCGAACAGG
rnacentral:rRNA from 1 species